rnacentral:other from 1 species
GAUGUCCUGCGCGGUGCGUGUCGGGCCUUUUUUAUCCUCACAUUUCGUUAUAGGGGAUGUCGGAUCAGUAUGUGGUUUGCAGGCCUCCCGGCUGCCGUAUGCGGCUGGAUGUUGGAAGCAGUAAAGCAAGCUGGAGACAACCCACCUGCCAGGAUGGUGCAGGUUAUAACAUGGUCCGCACGGCCAAGCGGGACAGGA